AACGCGAAGAACCUUACCAUCCUUUGACAUGGCGUGUUGCCCAGAGAGAUUUGGGGUCCACUUCGGUGGCGCGCACACAGGUGCUGCAUGGCUGUCGUCAGCUCGUGUCGUGAGAUGUUGGGUUAAGUCCCGCAACGAGCGCAACCCACGUCCUUAGUUGCCAUCAUUCAGUUGGGCACUCUAGGGAGACUGCCGGUGAUAAGCCGCGAGGAAGGUGUGGAUGACGUCAAGUCCUCAUGGCCCUUACGGGAUGGGCUACACACGUGCUACAAUGGCGGUGACAGUGGGAGGCGAAGGAGCGAUCUGGAGCAAAUCCCCAAAAGCCGUCUCAGUUCGGAUUGCGCUCUGCAACUCGAGUGCAUGAAGGCGGAAUCGCUAGUAAUCGUGAUCAGCAUGC
rnacentral:rRNA from 1 species